AUAAACCACAAAGGAGAUAAACCAAACGUGAUCUCUGCCUUCUCAGAGAUACUCGUCUACCUUCGGACUCCGCAGAUAAAGGACCUUAGCGUUUUCUACAGCAAAGUGGAGCAAUGUUUUAAAGGUGCAGCUCAGGCCACCCAAUGCAAGGUUGAAGUUACAACUGUUGGGAACAUUUACUAUGGUUUGCUCAAAAUAGAACUCUGGAGGCACUAUAUGAAGAAAAUGCAAGAAAUCUUGGGGUCACAUUCACAACUGACGAGAGAGGCUUGAAAUCCCAUUCCUAUGCUACAGACUUUGGAAAUGUCAGUUUUGCUGUCCCUGGAAUCCAUGCUAUGUUCAGUAUAGGCUCAAAAGAACUGAAUCACACAGAGCAGUACACAGAGGCAGCAGGUUCCACUGAAGCCCAACACUACACCCUGCGGGCUGCUAAGGCACUGUCAAUGACAGCACUGGAUGUGAUCUGCAGGCCUGAACUGGUCCCACUGAUGAAGAAUGACUGGGAAGCUGCUAUCCAUCAAUCAGGAAUGAAAGUGAAUGGAAGGCUUUAGGGUCCUGAUGGAAGUAUAUCUCCAUGGAAAUGAAAUUCGGCUGUGCUUAAAAGAAGCAUUAUACUGAGACAUCUAUAUAAAGUGAACUAUUAUCCAGAUGAAAGCGGAUGUCUUUUUAAACUCACUUACAAACUAAGUCUUUAUUUGUUGUAAAAAAAUGCCAUCUCUUUAAGGUGCUGUUAUAUGAUUUCACUUAAAUAUGUACACAAAUCCUUUUAAUCUCAAAAUACAGAGAAAUAAUUUUUUUCCAAA